UACGUAGGGUGCAAGCGUUGUCCGGAAUUAUUGGGCGUAAAGAGCUCGUAGGCGGUCUGUCGCGUCGGAUGUGAAAAUCCAGGGCUCAACCCUGGACCUGCAUUCGAUACGGGCAGACUAGAGGUUCGUGAGGGGAGACGUGGAAUUCCUGGUGUAGCGGUGAAAUGCGCAGAUAUCAGGAGGAACACCGGUGGCGAAGGCGGGUCUCUGGGCCAUAACUGACGCUGAGAAGCGAAAGCAUGGGGAGCGAACAGG
rnacentral:rRNA from 1 species